rnacentral:rRNA from 1 species
UACGGGGGGAGCAAGCGUUGUUCGGAUUUACUGGGCGUAAAGGGCGCGUAGGCGGUCAGCACAAGUCAGUUGUGAAAUCUCCGGGCCUAACUCGGAAAGGUCGACUGAUACUGUGCGACUAGAGUGCAGAAGGGGCAACUGGAAUUCUCGGUGUAGCGGUGAAAUGCGUAGAUAUCGGGAGGAAUACCGAUGGCGAAGGCAGGUCUCUGGGCUGACACUGACGCUCAUGCACGAAAGCGUGGGGAGCAAACAGG